rnacentral:rRNA from 3 species
GGCUCAGGAUGAACGCUGGCGGCGUGCUUAACACAUGCAAGUCGAACGAACCUUCGGGUUAGUGGCGGACGGGUGAGUAACGCGUGGGAAUCUGCCCUCAGGAGGGGGAUAACGGUUGGAAACGGCCGCUAAUACCCCAUAUGCCGAGAGGUGAAAUGAAUUUCGCCUGAGGAUGAGCCCGCGUCUGAUUAGCUAGUUGGUGAGGUAAUGGCUCACCAAGGCAUCGAUCAGUAGCUGGUCUGAGAGGAUGAUCAGCCACACUGGGACUGAGACACGGCCCAGACUCCUACGGGAGGCAGCAGUGGGGAAUUUUCCGCAAUGGGCGCAAGCCUGACGGAGCAACGCCGCGUGAGGGAUGAAGGCCUCUGGGCUGUAAACCUCUUUUCUCAAGGAAGAAGAUCUGACGGUACUUGAGGAAUAAGCCACGGCUAAUUCCGUGCCAGCAGCCGCGGUAAUACGGGAGUGGCAAGCGUUAUCCGGAAUUAUUGGGCGUAAAGCGUCCGCAGGCGGCUUUUCAAGUCUGCUGUUAAAACGUGGAGCUUAACUCCAUCAAGGCAGUGGAAACUGAUUGGCUUGAGUGUGGUAGGGGCAGAGGGAAUUCCCGGUGUAGCGGUGAAAUGCGUAGAUAUCGGGAAGAACACCAGUGGCGAAGGCGCUCUGCUGGGCCAUAACUGACGCUCAUGGACGAAAGCCAGGGGAGCGAAAGGGAUUAGAUACCCCUGUAGUCCUGGCCGUAAACGAUGAACACUAGGUGUCGGGGGAAUCGACCCCCUCGGUGUCGUAGCCAACGCGUUAAGUGUUCCGCCUGGGGAGUACGCACGCAAGUGUGAAACUCAAAGGAAUUGACGGGGGCCCGCACAAGCGGUGGAGUAUGUGGUUUAAUUCGAUGCAACGCGAAGAACCUUACCAGGGUUUGACAUCCUGCGAACCUCUAAGAAAUUAGAGGGUGCCUUUGGGAACGCAGUGACAGGUGGUGCAUGGCUGUCGUCAGCUCGUGUCGUGAGAUGUUGGGUUAAGUCCCGCAACGAGCGCAACCCACGUUUUUAGUUGCCAGCAUUCAGUUGGGCACUCUAGAGAGACCGCCGGUGAUAAACCGGAGGAAGGUGUGGAUGACGUCAAGUCAUCAUGCCCCUUACAUCCUGGGCUACACACGUACUACAAUGCUACGGACAAAGGGCAGCGAACUCGCGAGGGCAAGCAAAUCCCAUAAACCGUGGCUCAGUUCAGAUCGUAGGCUGCAACUCGCCUACGUGAAGACGGAAUCGCUAGUAAUCGCAGGUCAGCAUACUGCGGUGAAUACGUUCCCGGGCCUUGUACACACCGCCCGUCACACCAUGGAAGUUGGCCACGCCCGAAGUCGUUACUCCAACCCUUGUGGAGGAGGACGCCGAAGGUGGGGCUGAUGACUGGGGUGAAGUCGUAACAAGGUAUCCGUACCGGAAGGUGCGGAUGGAUCACCUCCUAA